UUCUGGUUUCGCGGUGUGGACCGUGCAGUCAAGAGUCACAAAACAGGGAAAGUAAGGUGUCAAAGAAACUGGAAACGCAAUCAAUCAAACCUUCCCAAAUUGGAAGGUAAAAAAAGAAGAGUUGUUGUGGCUAGAGGCUUGAUUUGAGUUCAUAGGUAGGUUCCGUUGCUUUUUGCUCCAUUGAUCUCCUUCUCUACCUCCUUAUGGCUCCACGGGGACGUACCAAGAAGCGUCAGAUGCGUAUGGAUGCAGCUCUUGAUGCAAUGAUGAGCUAUGGGUUCCCUGAGGAACUGAUUGUCACUACAGUGAAAGAGCUUUUGGAUGUUUAUGGUAUGGAUGGAUGGCCAUUUAUUGAAGAGGCUUCAUAUAGAGUCCUGCUUGACAGUAUUCUUGAAAAGGUUGAGAAGGAGGCAAAGGAAAAGGGUGAUUCCCCGCCAAGCGGUGGCAGAGAUGGGAACAACACCAAAGCAUCAUGUGCUGGGCCAUCAAGCGAGGCUCUUGUACAUACAUACUCUAGUGAGGAGGCUUUGUUGCAGUCUAAUGUAAAUCUGGAUAUUGCAUCAGAUACUGAUAACAAUAAGGCUCCAGUCACUGCAUUACGGGCUGAUGGAUUUGGUAAUGGGCUUCCCAUCCUUUUCUUAAAGCUUAGCAUGUGAUAUGUGAGCGUUGCCCACUGUUUCAGCCAUAUGGUUCUAGCCUCCUUUAUUUUGUGUGUUUUAAUGUAUUUUAUUUUGCACAUUUAGCUAGUACCAUGAAUAUUUUGGAAAGUGUUGGAUUAUGGAUGCGUUACGAAAUAAUGUCUUUAGAUUUCUUUUAUACAGCAACAUUCAAGAAUGAAGUGCCUCUUAUUGUGACAGUUGACAAGAAUAAAGCAGAACUUCAUCCAAAUAUACUCUGAAUUUUGCUUUCUUUUCCUUAGUUCAGCUUUUCUUUUGUAGAAUGUAAUACUUGUCCACCAGAAGCUGAAGUAGAAGGAAAUACUUGGAAGGACAUCAACUUAGAUCAACGCUCCAGGGAAAAGCAAAUGAGCAACUCAAAUGGAAAUUUUCAUGCUGUUCCCAAACUUGGAAGCAGCAGCCACUCUGUUCAACAUGAUAUUCGCUCCCCAGAACGAGUGGAUGCUCUUCCAAGGCGAAGCCGUAGACCUUUCCAUGGAUGGAUUAGUAGUGAUGAUGAGGAGGAACUUGUGGAACUAACACCAGCACCAUUGCACGAGACAUUAGCAAAGAUAUUAUAUACAACAGAUGUUUCCAAGAAUCGCAAGAGAAGAUGGGACGUAAGGCCUGAAGAUAUGUAAACUUUCCUAGCACUAUCUUUAUGGUUGCAAGAAAGAUGAAGAUCUGGGGAUUAAACUAGUUUCUCCCUACUGUUUUUGUAUAUAGUUAGGCAUCUUUAAAAGAACUUCUAGACAAGAAACAUUUGGGGUUUUGAAUUGUUGAAUGGUCAGUUCUUGUUCAAGGAUUUUAGCAAGUUCUUUACAAUGCAAAGAAAAUAUGCACGGG
rnacentral:misc_RNA from 1 species